AGGGUUCGAUUCUGGCUCAGGAUGAACGCUGGCGGCGUGCUUAACACAUGCAAGUCGAACGGAGUUUUUAAACGGAAGUUUUCGGAUGGAAGUUUAGAAACUUAGUGGCGGACGGGUGAGUAACGCGUGGGUAACCUGCCUCAUACAGGGGGAUAACAGUUAGAAAUGACUGCUAACACCGCAUAAUAUAGCGAAACCGCAUGAUUUUGCUAUCAAAUAUUUAUAGGUAUGAGAUGGGCCCGCGUCUGAUUAGCUAGUUGGUGGGGUAAAAGCCUACCAAGGCGACGAUCAGUAGCCGGCUUGAGAGAGUGACCGGCCACAUUGGGACUGAGACACGGCCCAAACUCCUACGGGAGGCAGCAGUGGGGAAUAUUGGACAAUGGGGGAAACCCUGAUCCAGCCGACGCCGCGUGAGUGAAGAAGUAUUUCGGUAUGUAAAGCUCUAUCAGCAGGGAAGAUAAUGACAGUACCUGACUAAGAAGCCCCGGCUAACUACGUGCCAGCCGCGGC
rnacentral:rRNA from 1 species